rnacentral:rRNA from 1 species
AGAGUUUGAUCCUGGCUCAGGAUGAACGCUAGCUACAGGCUUAACACAUGCAAGUCGAGGGGCAGCAUGGCCUAUCUUUCGGGAUGGGCCGAUGGCGACCGGCGCACGGGUGAGUAACGCGUAUCCAACCUUCCCUUUACUGGGGUCCAGCCCGUCGAAAGGCGGAUUAAUCCCCCAUGUUCUCCGUCCCGGACAUCUGUGUCGGAGCAAAGAUUUAUCGGUAAAGGAUGGGGAUGCGUCCGAUUAGCUUGUUGGCGGGGUAACGGCCCACCAAGGCAUCGAUCGGUAGGGGUUCUGAGAGGAAGGUCCCCCACACUGGAACUGAGACACGGUCCAGACUCCUACGGGAGGCAGCAGUGAGGAAUAUUGGUCAAUGGCCGUAAGGCUGAACCAGCCAAGUAGCGUGAGGGAAGACUGCCCUAUGGGUUGUAAACCUCUUUUAUGCGGGGAUAAAGGUGUCCACGUGUGGAUGUUUGCAGGUACCGCAUGAAUAAGGACCGGCUAAUUCCGUG